rnacentral:rRNA from 2 species
GUCGGUGAUCACAGGCAUCGGGAAACACCUGUUCCCAUCCCGAACACAGCAGUUAAGCCGAUGCCGCCGAUGAUACUGCAUCGCGGGAAAGUAGGUCAUCGCCGACU